rnacentral:lncRNA from 1 species
GCAGGUGGCCUCCAGGUGCAAAGUGGGAAGUGUGAGUCCUCAGUCUUGGGCUAUUCGGCCACGUGCCUGCCGGACAUGGGACGCUGGAGGGUCAGCAGCGUGGAGUCCUGGCCUUUUGCGUCCACGGGUGGGAAAUUGGCCAUUGCCACGGCGGGAACUGGGACUCAGGCUGCCCCCCGGCCGUUUCUCAUCCGUCCACCGGACUCGUGGGCGCUCGCACUGGCGCUGAUGUAGUUUCCUGACCUCUGACCCGUAUUGUCUCCAGAUUAAAGGGUACGACAUUUGGAGGCCCCAGCGAGAAACGUCACCGGGAGAAACGUCACCGGGCGAGAGCCGGGCCCGCUGUGUGCUCCCCCGGAAGGACAGCCAGCUUGUAGGGGGGAGUGCCACCUGAAAAAAAAAUUUCCAGGUCCCCAAAGGGUGACCGUCUUCCGGAGGACAGCGGAUCGACUACCAUGUGGGUGCCCACAAAAAUUCCACCUCUGAGUCCUCAACUGCUGACCCCGGGGUCAGGUAGACACGGGGUUUCACCAUGUUGGCCAGGCCGGUCUUGAACUUGUGACGUCAGGUGAUGCACCCGCCUUGGCCUCCCAAAGUGCUGGGAUUACAGGGUCCAGAUUUUGAACAAAUCUCGCUAGAGAUUGAACAGGAGCUGCGCCUGGAUCCCGCCACAGUGAGGAGACCUGAAGACCAGAGAAAACACAGCAAGACGGAGUCUUGCUCUGUUGUCCAGGCUGGAGUGUAGUGUGGCGAUCUCGGCUCCCUGCAAGAAUCUGCCUCCCAGAUUCACGCCAUUUUCCCACCUCAGCCCCUGGAGUAGCUGGAAGUACAGGCUCCCGCCACCACGCCUGGCUAAUUUUGUUUUUGUAUUUUUAGUAGAGACGGGGUUUCACUGUGUUAGGUAGGAUGGUCUCGAUCUCCUGACCUCAUGAUCCAUCCGCCUUGGCCUCUCAAAGUGCUGGGAUUACAGGCAUGAGCCACCGCACCUGGCUGUUUUUUCAUUUCUAUUAUGAUUUGUUCUGUGGAAUGUCAGUGACUUAGCGGUGUUUUUCACAUGUUUAUAAAGCUGAAUAGUUCUGUAUGUCAGCUCAGCACCCCUAGUGUCAGUCAUGCUACUCUCCUGCUGUGCAUAGAUGGGGGCCUGUCCACACCCAAAUCUCCUGGGUUCCCGCUGUCCGCACCUGAAGGUACCCACCAGAUGUGUCUGUCACUGCCCUCCAUCCACCUUUCUUGUGGUUCUCAUGUUUCUGCCUCCCUAGAGACCAUUUCUCUCUACAGCAGUAGUUUCCAAUAGAAAUACAAUGCCAGACACAUACGUCAUUUUAGAUUUUCUAGUAGUCACUUUAGAAAAGUGAAAAAGAGGCCAGCUGCAGUGGCUCACACCUGUAAUCCCAGCACUUUGGAAGGCUGAGGUGGGUGGAUCACGAGGUCAGGAGAUCGAGACCAUCCUGGCCAACAUGGUGAAACCCCCUCUCUACUAAAAAUACAAAAAAUUAGCUGGGCGUGGUGGCAGGCGCCUGUAGUCCCAGCUACUCGAGAGGCUGAGGCAGGAGAAUGGCGUGAACCCGGUAGGCAGAGCUUGCAGUGAGCCGAGAUAGCGCCACUGCACUCCAGCCUGGGCGACAGAGGGAGACUCCAUCUCAAAAAAAAAAAAAAGGUUACAAAGAAACAGGUGAAAUUAGUUUUAUUUCACCUAAAAUGUUAGCAUUAUCCAAAAUAUCACUUCAACAUCUUAUCAAAAUAAAAAUUAUUAAU